rnacentral:rRNA from 1 species
UACGAAGGGGGAGCUAGCGUUGCUCGGAAUCAUGCUAGGGCGUAAAGGGUGCGUAGGCGGGUCUUUAAGUCAGGGGUGAAAGUCCUGGAGCUCACUCCAGAACUGCCUUGAUACUGAAGAUACUUGAGUUCGGGAGAGGUGAGUGGGAACUGCGAGUGGUAGAGGUGAAAUUCGUAGAUAUUCGCAAGAACGACCAGUGGCGAAGGCGGACUCACUGGC